rnacentral:tRNA from 1 species
CAGAAUAUAGCUUAUUUAGAGCGUUUCAUUUACACUGGAGUGGAUGUCACAGGAGUGAUUGUUUUGA